CAGGAAAUGAGCCAUGAAAUGUGAUGUUCAAGUUAUUGUUUUAACCUAGAAAAAAUCUUGAGUCAGGUCCCCCAGAAAUCGAGAGAUUGGUUCCAAAACCAUGAUUAAAAUAAUAAUAAUAAUAAUAAUAAUAAUAAUAAUAAUACAUUUUGGUUCUGUUUAUUCACCUUCUGGGUUUUCAGGCUUUAGGAUGCACUUGGGUCACAUUUUUUCUUUUCUGAACAACCAUGAAUGCCAGAAACUUACUUCUUGUUGUCAUGGAAGCAGAGAGCCUCAUCUAAUCACGUGCCUCCAGCAGUUGAGGCUUUGCAUCAAAUGUAGCGACUCUCCUGAUAAAAUGCAGGCUUGAGUAAUGCUGUGUGAAUGUGUACAGUCAAUGGAGGUAUCCUUAGUCAUACUGAGCAGAGAAUUGCUUCAUCAGAUUUUCUUCUGAACAUUCUCCUCUCCUUGUCUCUGAACGGAACAGUGCCAGGGUGGAAGAUGGUGACCAUUAUGGGUCAGACCAAAGGUCCAUCUAGCCCAGUAUCAUGUCUUCUGAUAGUGGCCAGUGGAUGUUGACAGACAGACACCCGGUCUGGGGACCCAUCCCAUCUAGAGCCUCACAGCACCUGCCUGAUUCACUCUGGUGUUACUCCAAUUUCAUGCCAUUCUCCAAGGGGUUAUGCUGGUGAACGCCAUUCCAGAAGGAUGUCAAGUAUCAGGGGGUAGCCGUGUUAGUCUGUAUCUACAAAAACAACAAGGAGUCUGGUGGCACCUUAAAGACUAACAGAUUUAUUUGGGCAUAAGCUUUUGUGGGUAAAAACCUCAUUUCUUCAGAUGCAUAGAGUGAAAGUUACAGAUGCAGGCAUUAUAUGCUGACACAUGGAGAGCAGGGAGUUACUUCGCAAGUGGAGAACCAGUGUUGACAGGUCCAAUUCAAUCAGGUGGAUGUAGUCCACUCCCAAUAAUAGAUGAGGAGGUGUCAAUUCCAGGAGAGAACCUGUAAACCACAUCCCAACUGUUCCAACCCGGGGAGUCUACUCUUGGUUCAGCGCUAACUAUAUCCUUUUCUUCUUUUCCUUCUCCUUUCUCUCAGUUUACUUAAUUUGCUGCUGGUAGCCUGUACUUUAAACUGACCUGACAGGCUUCAUUGGUUUCUUUCCACCUCUUCCCCCUCCUCUCCCCCGGCCUGUCCACACUUUUGUUUUUCUGAAGUUUUAGUGGAGGGGACUUUGGAUACUCAUGUGAAAUGUUUUUGGUGGUUUGUUUUGUUUGGGACAAAGUACGACGGAGGUCUGCUGUAGUCCACUGGAAUUUUUGGAGGAACAGAUCCAUGGGCAACCAUGGAGACAAAUGUUUUACUGCCCUUUGAACAGUCUCAGGGUAAAGACAGCACAGGUUAAGGCGGCUGUGUGGCAAUAAUUGUACUCGGUGGCUGAGUUGUUAAAAACAAAGUGCGCUACCUUAAAAAACUAAAUGGAGGAGUAAGUGAUUUAAAAAACAGGAGAUGAAAGUGAAAAGUCAUGAGAACUCUGGUGGAAGUGAAAUGUGUCCCUUUUAAGACAAUCUCUGAGCUGCUGAUCGCUUUGGAUCCAGAGGCAAGCCAAGAAAGCCUCUGUGUAAAUGCAAAUUACCUAACUGAUGGCGGAAGAAGAAAACUACCCAUAAGUAGCAGCACAAAAAAUCUGGAAAUAAUAAAUCCAUCUGGUCAGCAAACAAGCUACUAGAAGACUCAGAUUAUGGCCCUCCAGAAGAGGGAGACACUCUACAAGCAUGCUGGCGCCAGCGAAAGAAUAACCCAGAAUACUAUGAAUCUAUGUUUUGCGUUGUUUGUCUGUGGUGUUUGUCUUGUUGCUAGCAUGACGUGGGUGGCGGAUGGCUUCAAAAGGCUGACAGGGGUGGAAAAUGUGUACGAAAACGCAAAAUGCUCAACGAGGAGGCCAGCACCUGUGUAACAGCUACCAUGGUACCUGAAAAUAGAACGGCAACUAAAAUGAUGCUUGCUAAAAGUUUACCCCAAUAAACAUCAAAUUGUUUGCGCCUUUGAA